CCCUUGCUCGCACGCCGCACCCCUCCCUCCCUCCUCGAUCUCUAUCCCAGUAUCCCUCCUCACUUCCUCAGCUGCCACAGCAAGAAGCCACGAACCCUGAGCCAUCUGCCUCUCCUGCGUGUUCGUGCUCAUCGCCACCAUUCCUCCCGCUCCCCAUCGUUGCCCCGACGCCUCCACCGGCUAGCUACCAUGGAUCCAUGGGCGAUGGGAGAGUACGCCGUCGUCGACCCAUCGCUUAGGUUGGUGGCGCAUGGGUCGGGUAUGGGCAGAAGGCCGGCACCUGCGGGGGAAAACGGCGGGGGUUGGUGCAGCGGAAAAUGAGGACGGGGUUGGCCGUAGAGGGAGGCUCGCCGGCCGGAACAGCCGGAGCAAUGAGGCAGUGUCGGCCAUGGAGCGAGGCCCACUGGCCGGAGCAGCAGGAGCAACUGCAGCCGCUGGUCGGCUCGACGCACCGCCUCCUCUGCUGCGGCCCGCACGGUCGAGAGGGGCAGCUGCGCCGUAGCUGGCGGCGAGUUCAGCGGCCGCCGCCUCCUCUCCUCUUCGAAUCCACAGGUGCCUAUGCGCUCCCCUCGGUUGGGUUGUUCAUCCUUCUUCGCCGGUGGUGUGCUCGUCCGUUGCAAUAGCCUUCGUGUGCUGGAUGAACACUGCCGGUUGAGGUCUAUCUCCGUUUGUCUAGCAGGUUCAACGAUCUGCUAGGUUGCUGCAUGUGCAACUCUGUGCUGUUGUUCAAGGUUUGCUUUAUUCUUUCUUCCCUACAUGCUUGUUCUUUCUCGCUACACACAUGCUUCUCUUUCUCUAAGUACCGUAAUACUUCUGUGCUGUCUCUAGCUACAUGCAUUUACCUUUCUUUGUCGGUCUAAUUGUCUAUUGAUGAGCCAUGGUUAUGUGAACUUUAAGAUGUAAUAAUAUAUGGUGUUUAAAUUUGUAUUGUUCAUUAGCGCCUAUGAUUUUGCGCCAAAGAAUCGUCCGAUAUCCAAGUUUCUAUAUAUUUUUUACACCAUUGCAGUCCAUAGCUUGCUUCAAUCCUGUUACACAUUGGAUUGAAGAUAGGUCGUCCAUUUUUAUUGACUUUUUUUGUACAUUGUGAAGUCAUGGCCCCAGUUUAUAUUCAUGUUUAGUUUGCUCUGUAGUUCAUGUAUGCUCUGUAAAGAGCAUGUACAGCUAAUGGGUUUAAUUCGUUUGUUCCUUUUUUAGAUGUUCCGUAUCAGUGCAUAAUUCAACUUGAUCCAUACAGUGCCAGUGAUUUUGUAAGAUUUGCCCAUAUCUUUUGUGAGGAAAUAAUUAUGCUUCAGGAAGAUGCUAAAUAAGCUGGUCAGCUCUGGGGCAAAAGGUCAGCCAAUCUGCUUGGCUGUUCCUCCCAAGGUGGUGAGAGAUUGCUUGUUGCAGACUACAUGCCUAGAAAGACAUAUCUUCCACUGUGAUUUUGUUAACUGCUUGUGAGCAGGCCACUACUUUACAAAGUUUACUACAGCAGCAAGGACGCUAUGCUUUGAAUAGUUGAGCCGCCCUUUGUUUUUUCGUCCAUGGGCAGAGUGGGUGGAGUUCUAGCGCCUCAGGAUGUCAAGGUAUAGGGAUGUAACCUGAUCCUUAUUUCACAGUAUGUUUCUGUUCUUACGAUAAGUGACUCAUGUUUCUUCUGUGUAAUGCUAGGAUAAAGUUUGAUUUUCUCUGUACUACUCCAACUUGGUCCUAUCUCUUAACUACAAAAAUUUUAUGUAUCGUCUUAAUUUAGAUUUUAUUAUUAUUAGAAUUAGAUGGUGUGCAUUGAAUAUGAAAAUAGGGCCAAGUACUGCUAUGGCGUAUAUCCUAUUGAAGCUCACUGUUGAUCUCUUUGUAGCUUAUAAAAGAUAGUUAUAUCAUUUUACUGGAUGUAUAAUCAGAAAGGUGGGCCAACAAACUGUAACAUGUGACAUAAAACAUGAUAAUGCAGGCUUCCUUUAUUUUUUUCCAUGGGCAGAGUGGGUGGAGGUACACAGCCUCAAGAUGUCAAGGAAUCUGAUCCUUAUUUGACAGUGAACUUAGAAGGGUUUUCCAUCUUAUAAUAUGAUAAUGCAGGAUUCCUUAGCUUGACCAGAAUUUAGCAUUUUGGUAUUGCUUCCUUACCAUGCAAUGUAGGCUUCAGCACCAUUUUUAAAAUAUAAGCCAUCAUUUGUGCCGGUCCUUAUCAAGCAGUUCCUUAUCAAGUAAACAUUAGCACAGUCCUGAUUAUCCAGUUGAGAAAUCUUUAUUUUAAUUGCGGUAAGUAAUGUAGGCUGCAAGAGUUGUCUUUUAAGUAAUGCAAAUUCUUCUGUCAGUAGCUAAUGCUUUUUAGAUAUUUUGAUUUCCCAUUCUUUUGUAGCUCUGUUCAUUUUUGUCGCUGGUUUACAUUUGUUUUAUAUCUUUCUCAUUCUGUUCAUAGCAUUUUGUCAUGUUUCUUCCUUUUUACAGAGCUAUUUUGAUGUUGUGUCAAGAAUUUUGGCUAAUUGAUGGCUCAAAUGAUUGCAAGCAUAUGAUCUUGUCGGCUUUAGUGAUUGCAGGCACAUCGACUACAGGAAAACGUAGCCACUGAAGAUUCUUGCUUCCCUUUUUUGUUUUGGUGAAAUUGCAGUCAAGCUACUUACAUACGACUCUUAUCAGGGCAUUCGAGAAUUCUCAAAUUGGGUCUGCUUCUGUUUUAGCCUGAUUUAUGUUUCUACUGUAGGUGUUGCUCUAUGGCAGUACAUACUUUAUGCACUAUUGAAGAGAUAAGAACAGUGUGCUACCUAUUUAUGCUUUUAGUAUGGCUUGAUAGACCGAUGCCCUGUUGUGGAACUGAUAUUGUUUUUUCUUUAUGAUGGAACAAAUGAUGGUUUGAUCUAUGCGCAGUUGCAUUGUUUAUUUCUCAACUGGUGGAGAUCGAAUUUAAUAAUUAUAUUGACAUGCCCCGGUGCCUUUUGUUAUUGUAGUUGCCUAAUUAUUGUUAUCUACUUCCUCUGAUCCAAAAUAAGUGUAGUGGUUUGAACUAAAACCAUGGCAUUUAUUUUGGAUUGGAGGGAGUACCAUUUUUGUUCUUCUGCAACAUAGCAUGUGCAGUACUAUACUCCUUAUUAUGCAUGCUAAGGCGCUAUGCAUGACUUCGGAAGAUUAACAUUUCCAAAUUUUACUGUCGAGUUGUAUGGUCUAUACAUGUUAUACAAAUAUGUUUUUUUCAAACUCAGAUUUCUCGGUGAGAUAACCAUAUUUUUCAACCAAAAAAAUGCUUCCCUAACUGGUCUAUACAUGUAAUACAAAUAUGAUUUCUUUUUCAAACUAAGAUUUCUCAGCGUGAUUAACAUAUUUUCAAUAUAGCAUUAUUUAACACAUGGGCUUUCUACUAUCAAUAUCAAAUGUGUCCUUGCAAAAUGAAACUAUUUUCAUUGACAACAUGGCUUUAGUGGGUCUCUGCGCCAUUUGGCGCAACGGGUCAACUAGUAUAAUAUAUAGAGAGAUGGCAUAGCGCUCAAAGGAUACAUAUACCACCAGGUAGCACUAUUCUUGGAAUGUGGCGUCAGCAUUACAGGCAGAAGCUGAGGCGUGUGCUGCUGUCCUUGAGGCAGCGUCAAACUGGGGAAUGACAGAAGUCCAGGUUGAGCUCGAUUGUCAUUGCCUAGUGAAAGCCCUGCAAGACAGUGAUGCGGAUUUGGCUGCUGAGGGUAUCUUAUUCAGAGAAAUCCAACACUUUGCCCCUCUAAACUUCAAUCGCGUCUCCUUUUCGUUUGCCCCGAGGGCCUGUAAAAACUUAGCUCAUGUAAUAGCAGCGUUUGGUGCUCGUAGGCUUGUUCGUCGGGAACUAUGGC